UACGUAGGGGCAAGCGUUGUCCGGAAUCAUUGGGCGUAAAGAGCGUGUAGGCGGUCCGGUAAGUCGGCUGUGAAAGUCCAGGGCUCAACCCUGGGAUGCCGGUCGAUACUGCCGGACUAGAGUUCGGAAGAGGCGAGUGGAAUUCCCGGUGUAGCGGUGAAAUGCGCAGAUAUCGGGAGGAACACCUAUGGCGAAGGCAGCUCGCUGGGACGUUACUGACGCUGGAGACGCGAAAGCGUGGGGAGCAAACAGG
rnacentral:rRNA from 1 species